rnacentral:piRNA from 1 species
UGAGGACCCCUCUUCACUGUAAAAUGGAGA